rnacentral:rRNA from 3 species
GAGCGAGUCAGAAAAAGAACAUCGCCCGAUCCCUAGUCGGCAUAGUUUACGGUUAAGACUACGACGGUAUCUGAUCGUCUUCGAUCCCCUAACUUUCGUUCACUGAUUAAUGAAAACAUCCUUGGCAAAUGCUUUCGCAGUAGUUAGUCUUCAAUAAAUCCAAGAAUUUCACCUCUGACAAUUGAAUACUGAUGCCCCCGACUGUCCCUAUUAAUCAUUACGGCGGUCCUAGAAACCAACAAAAUAGGACCGCACGUCCUAUUCUAUUAUUCCAUGCUAACGUAUUCGAGCAAAGGCCUGCUUUGAACACUCUAAUUUUUUCAAAGUAAAAGUCCUGGUUCCCCAACACACCCAGUGAAGGGCAUGAGGUUCUCCAGAAGGAAAGGCCCGGCCGGACAAGUACACGCGGUGAGGCGGACCUGCCAGCCAGGCCCAAGUUUCAACUACGAGCUUUUUAACUGCAACAACUUUAAUAUACGCUAUUGGAGCUGGAAUUACCGCGGCUGCUGGCACCAGACUUGCCCUCCAAUUGUUCCUCGUUAAGAGGUUUAAAUUGUACUCAUUCCAAUUACAAGACCCAAAAGAGCCCUGUAUCAGUAUUUAUUGUCACUACCUCCCCGUGUCGGGAUUGGGUAAUUUGCGCGCCUGCUGCCUUCCUUGGAUGUGGUAGCCGUUUCUCAGGCUC